AUUGAACGCUGGCGGCAUGCCUAACACAUGCAAGUCGAACGGAAACAGGACGCUAUGAUCUCUUCGGAGUGAAUUUGUCGCUGUCGAGUGGCGGACGGGUGAGUAAUGCAUAGGAAUUUGCCUUGAAGUGGGGGAUAGCCCGGAGAAAUCCGGAUUAAUACCGCAUAUGCUCUACGGAGCAAAGUGGGCCUCUGAUUUAAGCUCAUGCUUUGAGAUAAGCCUAUGUCGGAUUAGCUUGUUGGUAGGGUAAAAGCCUACCAAGGCGACGAUCCGUAGCUGGUUUGAGAGGAUGAUCAGCCACACUGGGACUGAGACACGGCCCAG
rnacentral:rRNA from 1 species